rnacentral:rRNA from 1 species
ACGUAGGAGGCGAGCGUUGUCCGGAGUUACUGGGCGUAAAGGGUGCGCAGGCGGUGGCCCGCGUGGGCGGUGAAAGCUCCUGGCUCAACUGGGAGAGGUCCGUCCAGACGGGGUCACUUGAGGGGCGGAGAGGGGCGUGGAAUUCCGGGUGGAGCGGUGAAAUGCGUAGAGAUCCGGAGGAACACCGACGGCGUAGGCAGCGCCCUGGCUGUGAUGGCUGACACUGAGGCACGAAAGCUGGGGGAGCAAACAGGA